UACGGGGGGGGCAAGCGUUGUUCGGAAUUACUGGGCGUAAAGGGUUCGUAGGUGGCCAAUUAAGUCAGACGUGAAAUCCCUCAGCUUAACUGGGGAACUGCGUCUGAGACUGGAUGGCUUGAGUGCAGGAGAGGAACGCGGAAUUCCAGGUGUAGCGGUGAAAUGCGUAGAUAUCUGGAGGAACACCGGUGGCGAAGGCGGCGUUCUGGACUGCAACUGACACUGAGGAACGAAAGCCAGGGGAGCAAACGGG
rnacentral:rRNA from 1 species